rnacentral:lncRNA from 1 species
AUCAACAACUAAACAUUUGAUCGAAGGGUGCACUCGGAAAUACGGACUUAGUAGCACGACCAAUGAUAAAAUGGCGAGUCAACAAUCAACACACUAAGAAUGAAACUAUCACUGAUCAACUUCAAAGCAAUAGGGUCCCAGAAGUAUUGGAAUCACUCAUGAGAGUUCACUUGUCGGUAUUCCGGUUAGAAACAACACGAGGACCAAGAAAUGAAUGGUGAUGGCGAGAAGUAUCACUAUACCAAGAAUUCUUAAGAGGUGAAUCAAUUCUCACAACACUCUUGAUAUAAAAGAUGGUAAUACUCCAAGGUAGAUCAUAACAUAAGCUAGAUAGAAAGGAACUAAAGGGACAACACAAAACGUGAACAAGUUUGUCUUGGAAGGAAGUCAAUAAGGUUGCCAAUGAUAACACAUAUCAUCGAGGGGCAAUGAUGGUAUUUCUGAUCAUGAAUUUGAUUGGUAUCCUCGAAGAGCUCACAAUGCUGAUGAUGACCACGACCUAUUUGUCCAGAAGUUUCGUGGAGAUGUAAUUGUUCAACGGCGACAUCAAGCAAAGGAAUGGUGAAGCGAAAGGUUGUCGGGACGAGAGGUUAGAGUGCUAGCUCAGAAUCAAAAUUGUCAUUCAAGACAACCAACAUGACUAUGAAAGCUCGACGUAAGCUUAGCGCACUGUUGGAAAUGUGUUCCGGGGAUGAGGGAUACAAAAUGCAUAGUAAAGCUCUGGCAUGACGAUGAUGAUGUAGCCUAACAUCUUGGAAUGACAUGAUCGAGUAAAAACUUAUAAGCAAAGAAGAUCACUAAGAGUUUUUGAAUCGCGAUGCAUACUCAAUUCAGAUA